rnacentral:rRNA from 1 species
AACGAACGCUGGCGGCGUGGAUAAGACAUGCAUGUCGAACGGGAUAUUAUUUGUAGCAAUACAAAUGAUGUCUAGUGGCGUAAGGGUGCGUAACACGUGGGGAAUCUGCCGAGAAGUGGGGAUAGCUCGCCGAAAGGCGAAUUAAUACCGCAUGUGGUUAGUGAGGACAUCCUCACGACACCAAAGCCGGGGCAACCUGG